GAAAAAAAGAGAGAAGAAAGAGAGAGUGAUGCUAAACCCUAAUCAGGCAGCAGAGUUCUCCCAACGUGCGGCGUCUUCUUCCUCUUCUUCUUCUGCAUUUACGAUCGCUAACUCUUUGAUUCAGGGAUGGGGUUGAAGCUGUUUGACGGCGGCGAUUCCGACAACGACAACGUAUCGAAGAUUGAGAUCAACGAGGACUACGCUCGCCGAUUCGAGCAUAACAAGAAGCGCGAGGACCUCCAGCGGCUUCAGGAACUCAAGAAGAAGGGCCUCGUCGAAGAUGACUCCUCCUCUUCCUCUGAGUCAGGUGAUGAAUCCUCCUCCGGGUCUUCAUCCUCAUCAGAUGACGAUGUUGAUGUGGGUCAAGACAGCAAGAAGGACUUGGAGUUCUUUAAUGCGCUGAUUAAGGUGCGAAGCCAAGACCCGAGUCUUAAAGAGAAAACUGUCUCUCUUUUCGAGUCUGAAGAGAGCGACGGAGACGGAGAAGGGGAUUCGAAGGAGAGAAAACGGAAGCUUUACUUGAAGGAUGUGGUGGCCAAGCACCUGAUUGAGGAGGGACCUGAUUUUGAUGAUGAGCAGACGGAGGGUGCUAAGAAGAAGAGCUACGGUGAGGAGCAAGAGGAGAUGAGAAGGGCUUUUCUAAAAGCUGCGGAUGCCGCAGAGGCCGAUGGCGAUGAUGGUGACUUUUUGACAGUGAAGAAGAGAGAUGAUGGUCAUCCGGUUGAAGAUGGUAAUGCUGCAGAGUUUCAGCAGAGGCUGGAUGAAUAUUUUGGCAGGAGUGAGGGUUUGGGUGAGAAUGAGAUGUUUCUGAAGGAGUUCUUUUUGAAUAAGAUGUGGGUUGACAAGGAUAACAAGAACAAAGAACAUGUUAAUGAGGAGGAGUUGGAUGAGUUGUUGAGGGAUGAGGAGGAGAUUGAGAAGCAAGAGGAUUAUGAAACCAAUUUCAGGUACGAGGAGAAUGCGGGCGACAGGGUAUUGGGUCAUUCAAGGACCAUGGAGGGGUCAGUGAGGAAGAAAGAGAAGGCUAGGAAGAAGCAGAGAGAGAGCAAGGAGGAGAGGAUGAAGGCCGCCGAGAUGGAAAGGAAGGAUGAGUUGAAGCACUUGAAGAAUUUGAAAAAGGAGGAGAUCAAGCAGAAGCUUGAAAAGUUUAAGCAGAUUGCUGGGAUAGGUGAUGAUGAGGACUGCCCAUUGAACGGAAUUGAUCUUGAUGAUGACUUUGAUCCAAAUGAAUAUGAUAGGAUGAUGAAGCAAGUUUUUGAUGAAACGUAUUACCAUGCAGAAGAUGUGGACCCUGACUUUGGCAGUGAUGGAGAUGAAGAAGGUGGAGAAAUUGAAAAACCAGACUUCAAGAAAGAAGAUGAAUUGCUUGGACUUCCAAUUGGCUGGGAUGAAUCAGAGACAGAUGGAUUCUUAGCAGCUAGAGAAAGAAGCUUAAAACACAAGUUAGAUGAUGGAGGUGAAGAUGACAAUAGUCAUGGUGAUGAGGAGGAGGAGGAGUCUGAUCAUAUCGCUGAGGCACAGAAUGAAGAAACUAUAUAUCCUGAGGAUGGAAAGCGUAAAAGAAAACGGAAACUAUCAUUGCUAAAGAGAGCUAAAGAGGCAAUGAUGGAGGAGUAUUAUAAAUUAGAUUACGAGGAUACAAUUGGAGAUUUGAAGACAAGGUUUAAGUAUGCCAAGAUCAAACCAAACAGAUAUGGAUUGAGCACUCCAGAAAUUCUGAUGAUGGAUGACAAAGAACUAAAUCAGUAUGUUUCCUUGAAGAAGCUUGCUCCUUACCAGGAGAAGGAAUGGAGAGUACACAACAAUCAGAGGCACCAGCUUAAAGUGAAGACAAAGGAGCUUCUUGAACAAGGAAAACAGAAGUACGAUAAGAAAAAGAGGCGUAAAGAUUAUUCUAAUGCUUCAACUGCUGAUAAGGGUAGCUCGGAAGAUGGAAAAUCACUGGAAGUUGAAUCAUAUGACGAUUCGCGUAAAUUGUCUAAGAACGCAAGGAGAAGGCAACGCCAAGCUGGGGUCAAGUUAUCAAACUCGAGGCUCAUAGCUUAUGGGAAAAUAGCCCCCAAGUCUAAGGGUAUAACCAAGCACUAGAAUUUCAAUGUGACUGCACUAGACCAAGAAAACUUGAAAAGGUCAGGGACGCGGUAGCUCUCGCUUCGGCAGCAAGUCAGUUCUUCAUUUGUGCAAGCUUUCCUUUUUAAGCAUGCAUCAUAGAGGUAACCAGUGAAGAAACAGACCAAACUAACGAUGUUGUCAAGACAUGUUGAUCUGUUAAGAAGGCAAUCAUCGAGGAGUAGUUGUUACUUAGUAAGAGGUUAAGCAAGUAACCCGCAUGAUUAUGAGGAUGGAGAUAUUCUUGACAUCUUGGCCAUGCACAUCUAAGCGUUACAAGCCUGACCGAGUCGGUAAUAUAGGUACGGUGUCCAUUGUUCCAUAGAAGGGGACCAUGUAAGCAGUGCAUUUGUUCUGAGAGAUGGGGAUAUAGUGAUUUGCAUUGCUCGAGUUUGCAUUUUUGGACUUGAAAAGUAUAAACAAAACUUGAUAAUUGGGGACAGGUGACCAUAGCAGUGGCCCAAAGAGCAAAGCCGUAGAAGAGCGAUUACUCGCUCUCUUCCUCCUCCAUCCAUGUCUCUGCUCUGUGGUACACUUUCUCAACUUUAAAAACGAUUUUGAUCGCCUUUUAACCUAGAGAGCUUUACUGAACCCCAUUGGGGCGACCAAUGAACAAAAUCUCAUGAUUAAUCA